rnacentral:ncRNA from 1 species
AAGGGAAAGAUUUAUUCUCACAACCUGGUCGUACUCAUAACCGCAGCAAGUCUCCCAAGGUGAACAGCCUCUAAUUGAUAGAACAAUGUAAGUAAGGGAAGUCGGCAAAAUAGAUCCGUAACUUUGGGAAAAGGAUGGCUCUAAGGAUUGGGCCUAUUGGGUCUUGGUUAGAAGGUUCGCUGGGAUGCGGGAAUUCUUUACAACUUACAAUGACGAUUAAUACGUGAUGGACUUUUUUUCACGUUAAUUAUCGCCUUAAGUAGUAUUAUAAAUUAAAUAAUUUACAUUUAAUUUCUCCAACCUAUGUAUAAUUUACGAUGAUUUUUUAUUAUCGUAAUUUUAUUACUCUGUUGGGGGGGAUGU